rnacentral:lncRNA from 1 species
GGCACCUGGGAUCAGAACCGUGAACCCCGGGCCACCUAAACCGUACCAUUGUAAGGAUUGGUGAUCCCUGUCCUCAUGAAGCUUAUUUUCUAGUGAGAGCAAAGAACGAAAUUAUAGGACUGGUGGCCUUAUAAGAAGAGGAAGAGAGUGCGAGCUCCUUCUCCAUGUGCACACACCGAGGAAAGGCUAUGCAAGGACCCAGCAAGAAGGUGACCAUCUACAAGCCAGGAAGAGAGAUGUCCCCAGAUCUUGACCAUCCUGGCACCUGAUCUUGGACUUCCAGCCUCCAGAACUGUGAGAAGAUAAAUUUCUGUUUAAGCCACCCAGUCUACAGUAUUUUGUUACGGCAGCUCAUGCAGACUGAAAUGCUUUUCAUGACCAAAUCCUAUUGGCUCUACCUUCAGUAUCUAUUCAGAUUACAACCAAUCUCCCCAAAUUCUACUAUUACCCCCUUAGUCCAAGCUACUAUCAUCUCUCGCCUGAAAUACUGCAGUACCCUCCUAACUGAACACAGAUGUCAGUCCCCAUCAAGAGGUGGAGUCGCUUUCCCCUCCCCCAAAAACUCAGUUGGCCUUUUGACUUGCUUCAACUAAUAGAAUGUGGAGGAAGUGCUACUGGGCCUUUAAGAGACCCGACAGCUUCCCCUUUAGCUCUCUUGGAACCUCGAGCCACCAUGUAAGAAGUCUGACUACCCUGUUGGAAAGAGAGGCCUGACCAGCCCCCGUUUCUUACUAGCAACUCAGCUGAGGCACCAGACAUAUGAGUGAGGCUCUCUGGAACAUUCCAGUCCCAGCUAAACUCCCUCCUGAAGGCAAAAGCAUGAUGGCCCCAGCAAUCACCACCAUGGAGCAAAAGAACCAUCCAAUCAAUGCACAGAAUCAUG